GUCCAUUAGUUGAUGAGACGUUGUCGUUUUGGAGCAUCGUCUCCUUCCAUCCCCUUGUCUGAAAACAAAACGGAACGGAGGAGUGACGACUGAGGAGUGAGGAGUGAGGAGUGAGGGACUGAUCUGAGCUUUUGGUAUUGAUAAGAGCUGGGCGUUGAUUGAUUUAUUUGACUCUCUCUCUCUCUCUCUCUCUCGUUGAGGCGCUGUCAAAAAGAGUUGUCUCAUCGUGCGGCUGUGCCAGGAUGUACAAGGAUGGUAGCAUCAUUCCAUUAGAUGAUUCUUUGGGUUAUGCUUCAAAUUUUUCACACAUGCUGGGAUAUGGUAGUCCUCAGAUGAAAGAGCUUAUGAGGCUUUAUCUCAGCGUCCACAGGUUCCGAGCCAGCCAAUGGUGCAGCCAAGCAAUGGCCCCUAUCUUGAAGGAGAUUCUGCCACGAUCCAAGGUUUGUUUGUUUCUUCUCUUGGACCAGGAAUUUUGGGAAAUUAUCUUCCAUGGAGUUCAGGUUAAGUUGGAUUUAUAUUCUUGCCUGACAUGAAAAUUUUAUGAUUUAUUUUACCAUUACAAAACGAGUUUGUUUUUCUAUCUUUUCCUCUCAUGAAAAAGGCUCGACAAAUUCAGGUAUUCAUUCCUUUUUCCCUCCCAAAUCUGUUGCAAUUUGUUUGUUUUAAUGUACUCCAUGAAUUAUUUCGGGUUCCUGAGAUUUGGAGUGUGCCAUUGGGGAGUUUUCAACAUUAUUUUGCCAUGUUAUUGAAUUUUUCAGGUUAACAGUAAUGUCGUUGAUCUUCCUAGUGAUGUUGGCAUGUAUGUUUUAAGCCUAAAACCCUAUAUUUUAGUGGAGGUGGAUGCCUUGAUCGGUUGGUGAUGGAUCGUUUUUGUCUUCUCUGCGCUACAUCUUCAGAUCAUAAGGCACCAGGUGGGAUGUUCGAAGAGAAAAAAAAACAUUGUGGGGAGUGCGUAUGAUCAGGUUUUGGAUGAUACUUUUGUCAAUGAGAGUGAUGGCGUUGAUGGACACGCUUCUUCUCUGUGCUACGCCUUUAAGGGUCUUUUGGAAGCAAACCAUGAUCAAGUCAUCACGUAUUCUAAUCCAUGUUAUUCUCUUCAAGCGUCCUCAUGGGUUCCUUGCUCCAAUCAUCACUCUCUUACUCAUGUUGCUCUUCUAGGAUCGUGAAGGAGGAUGCUUUGAUCGGUUGGUGAUGGUUUUGAUGGCUCGUUUUUGUUCUCUCUGCGCUACAUCUUCAGCAUUAUAAUGGCGAAGAGAGAGCAAACAAGUCUCUGAGAGGUGCCGGUGAUUUACAUGACUGAGUUGAUUCAGAACACAAUCGUCGCCAAACAUGCUUAAGAUCAAGGAGAUCAUCAUAUUCAAGGAAGGUAGAGACCAUGUACAACUAAUUCCAUGAAUGACACCAUUCCAUGAGCCAACGUCCAACCAGAAGAAGAAAAAGAAGAACGCCUCGAGGUUGGUUCUUGUCAUUGUGGGAGACACUCUGUUUCGGGAUAGACAGUCACAAAUAUCUCUAUGAAGCUGCAAGUUGAAAGUGGUCCGUCGUUUCUUCAAAAGCGAUUUUUUUAUUAAAGAGCAAAGAACAAGUUCAGGGGCUGUCAAAAGAGUUGUCUCAUCGUGCGGCUGUGCCAGUCAGAGGGAGACACAAUAACUGGUGGUGACUUGUAAGUUUAUUGGUUUACUAGGAAGCAGCUGGAUUCACAGUUAAUGAUCAUGUUCACUCAAUGAUAGAGAUCUAUUCGAACCAGUAGCUACAACACAAAGCAAGCCAAGAAAUAUCAAGUUACUCUUACCGAAGCAAGCACAUGAAUUUAGGUAUGGAGAAUUAGGGUUCCUGGAGCUUCGAACUCAAAGCCAUGGGUCCUUAUCUAUCUAUGGUCCAAUUCUACUCGGUCAGGAUUGAUAGAACUGCUCGUGUUGCCUUUGAUACUGCUCCGAAACGGCGUGGCAAGCUGUGUUUCUUUUACUUGUUUUCCUCUCUCUUGUUUCAUGUGGAACACAUAUAACACUGAUGCCAAUGCAAUUUG